UGCCAGCCGCCGCGGUAACACGGGGGGCGCAAGCGUUGUUCGGAAUCACUGGGCGUAAAGGGAGCGUAGGCGGCGUGGUAAGUCAGAUGUGAAAUUCCGGGGCUCAACCUCGGGAACUGCCUUUGAUACUGUUUAUCUAGAGUCCGAGAGAGGUUAGUGAAAUUCCCAGUGUAGAGGUGAAAUUCGUAGAUAUUGGGAAGAACACCAGUGGCGAAGGCGGCUAACUGGCUCGGUACUGACGCUGAGAUGCGAAAGCGUGGGGAGCAAACAGGAUUAGAUA
rnacentral:rRNA from 1 species